AAGCCAGCCAACUGAUCUUCUGAUCUGAAUGUAUAUCUGCAGAGAGCUAGAAAAGCUGGCAAUAGAUAAGCCAUGUUACAAGCCUUAAGAACACCUAUAGUCAUUGAGGUUCCCGAGAAUGGCUAUAAUA
rnacentral:snoRNA from 1 species